GACGAACGCUGGCGGCGUGCCUAAUACAUGCAAGUAGAACGCUGAAGGAGGAGCUUGCUUCUCCGGAUGAGUUGCGAACGGGUGAGUAACGCGUAGGUAACCUGCCUGGUAGCGGGGGAUAACUAUUGGAAACGAUAGCUAAUACCGCAUAAGAGUAGAUGUCGCAUGACAUUUGCUUAAAAGGUGCAACUGCACCACUACCAGAUGGACCUGCGUUGUAUUAGCUAGUUGGUGAGGUAACGGCUCACCAAGGCAACGAUACAUAGCCGACCUGAGAGGGGGGGGGGCCGGUGUGAGCGUGAUAAGCGGCACAGACUCGGACGGGAGGCGGCAGGGGGGAAGCGUUGGAAAGGGAGGGAAGUCGGACAGAGCAAGGCGGCGGGAGGGAAGAAGGAGUUCGGGUCGUAAAGCUCUGGUGUAAGGGAAGAACGAGGGUGGGAGUGGAAAGGUCACACUGUGACGGUAUCUUAACAGAAAGGGACGGCUAACUAAGUG
rnacentral:rRNA from 1 species